ensembl:lncRNA
ACAGUGUUGUGCAGGUUGUGGUUAAAGUCAUGGGAUAAGUGUGUAGAGUUUUGAAAACUGUGUUCAAGCAAUGAAAAAUGAACUAGAGUUUGGUCCACAUGAGCUGCUGCUGUGCAGACUGUAGUUAGAGUUUUGCACAUGUAGUUCCAGUUGUGCUCACUGUCGUUUAGCAAUCGAAAAAAACUGUAAAUGCAUGGAUUCAUAAAUGAUACACCUUUUACAUUAAACAAUACAAAUGAUCACCAGAUUAUUGCGGCCACUGUACCUCCUGGUCUGGGGAUGAACAUGACCUCUGACCUUGUGUGUGUGUGUUUAUGAUUAAAUAAAUAGUCAACAACUAUUUUCUGGUGUUUCAUUAGCUGCAGAUACAAAAGACACAACCGGUUCAGUUCUCUACCUGGCUGGUUACGUGGUACCACAAUGGAGGGGGCAGAGAGAACAAGGCACCACAGUGUGUGUGUGAGUGUGUGUGUGUGUGUGUGUGUGUGUGUGUGUGUGUGGGUGUGUUGGGGGGGAACAUGACAUGAUAACAUUCAUUAACUCCAACAUCCUGUGAUAUUAGCUCUCCUUCGCCUGGAGGUGAUGACGGUGUCUACACAACAGCACACACACACUGUUACACACACUCGCAUACACGUGCAGAUACACACACACACACACACUGACGUCAAGGAAAUUCCACACCAUCUCUGUUCAGCCUUUGCCUUCGGUUACGUUGUGGUUUAUGAAAAGCAGCGACUUACAAAAACAAAAUAUUGUGUAAGUGUUUCUGCCAGAAUUCUGACAAGAAGGAAAAGCAUAUAUUUUUUUAAGUAAAGGCUGAAAAGAGGCAAAUUGACGUAAAUUCAUGUGGCAAAGCAAACUUGUAAUCAUAUCUGUAAAACGUCCUUCAACGUAUUGGCUGGUUUAUUUAGGAUCUUCUUUUCUUUGUGUUUCAGAGUUGGGAUAUCUUUCAUCUCCGACAUCUCGUAUGUUACUCAUUGAGAUGUAGACUUCUUCAGUCUUUCUCUUCAACUGACAAUUCAGCUUCCACACAUCAUUUAAAAUAUUAUUACAGUUUUUUUCGAUUGCUAAACGACAGUGGGCACAACUGGAGCCACAUGUGCAAAACUCAGCAGCAGUUCAUGUGGACCAAACUCUAGUUCGUUUUUCAUUGCUUGACCACAGUUUUCAAACCUCUACACACUUAUCCCAUGACUUAUCCACAACCUGCACAACACUGUGGAUGUACAGCACUUUGUUCAAAUGCUAAAACACUGCUGUCAAAACUGUGAACCACACAUUCAAAACAGAGUGUGCCUUUCAAACACUGCUGAUUGCAAUUUCAGCUGAAAGGCUGAGCAGGUGUCUUGUUUUAGACUUGUUAGUGAACACACACACACACAUAUAUAUGUA